UACGUAGGGUGCGAGCGUUGUCCGGAAUUACUGGGCGUAAAGAGCUCGUAGGCGGUUUGUCGCGUCGGCUGUGAAAGCCCGGAGCUCAACCUCCGGGUCUGCAGUCGAUACGGGCAGACUUGAGUGUUGCAGGGGAGACGUGGAAUUCCUGGUGUAGCGGUAGAAAUGCGCAGAUAUCAGGAGGAACACCGGUGGCGAAGGCGGGUCUCUGGGCAACAACUGACGCUGAGGAGCGAAAGCGUGGGGAGCGAACAGG
rnacentral:rRNA from 1 species